rnacentral:rRNA from 1 species
GAUGAACGCUGGCGGCGUGCCUAAUACAUGCAAGUCGAGCGAACAGAUGAGGAGCUUGCUCCUCUGACGUUAGCGGCGGACGGGUGAGUAACACGUGGAUAACCUACCUAUAAGACUGGGAUAACUUCGGGAAACCGGAGCUAAUACCGGAUAAUAUAUUGAAUCGCAUGGUUCAAUAGUGAAAGACGGUUUUGCUGUCACUUAUAGAUGGAUCCGCGCCGCAUUAGCUAGUUGGUAAGGUAACGGCUUACCAAGGCAACGAUGCGUAGCCGACCUGAGAGGGUGAUCGGCCACACUGGAACGGAGACACGGUCCAGACUCCUACGGGAGGCAGCAGUAGGGAAUCUUCCGCAAUGGGCGAAAGCCUGACGGAGAAACGCCGCGUGAGUGAUGAAGGUCUUCGGAUCGUAAAACUCUGUUAUUAGGGAAGAACAAAUGUGUAAGUAACUAUGCACGUCUUGACGGUACCUAAUCAGAAAGCCACGGCUAACUACGUG